CNGNNNGGGNNNAUAACGCGUGAGAAUCUGCAUUCAGGUCGGGGACAACCACUGGAAACGGUGGCUAAUACCGGAUGUGCCGAGAGGUGAAAGGCUUGCUGCCUGAAGAUGAGCUCGCGACUGAUUAGCUAGUUGGUAGUGUAAGGGACUACCAAGGCGACGAUCAGUAGCUGGUCUGAGAGGAUGAUCAGCCACACUGGGACUGAGACACGGCCCAGACUCCUACGGGAGGCAGCAGUGGGGAAUUUUCCGCAAUGGGCGAAAGCCUGACGGAGCAAUACCGCGUGAGGGAGGAAGGCUCUUGGGUUGUAAACCUCUUUUCUCAAGGAAUAAGUUUUGAAGGUACUUGAGGAAUAAGCAUCGGCUAACUCCGUGCCAGCAGCCGCGGUAAUACGGAGGAUGCAAGCGUUAUCCGGAAUGAUUGGGCGUAAAGAGUCCGUAGGUGGUUGUGAAAGUCUGCUGUUAAAGAGCAAGGCUCAACCUUGUAAAGGCAGUGGAAACUACACAGCUAGAGUGCGUUCGGGGCAGAAGGAAUUCCUGGUGUAGCGGUGAAAUGCGUAGAGAUCAGGAAGAACACCGGUGGCGAAAGCGUUCUGCUAGGCCGUGACUGACACUGAGGACGAAGC
rnacentral:rRNA from 1 species